rnacentral:rRNA from 1 species
UGGCGGCGUGCCUAACACAUGCAAGUCGAGCGAGAAAGGGGUUCGGCUCUGAGUACAGCGGCGCACGGGUGAGUAACACGUGGGUAAUCUGCCCUAGAGUGGGGAAUAACACCGGGAAACCGGUGCUAAUACCGCAUACGAUCAGAUGAAAGGAGCAAUUCGCUCUUGGAGGAGCCCGCGGCUGAUUAGCUAGUUGGUGAGGUAAUGGCUCACCAAGGCAACGAUCAGUAGCCGGUCUGAGAGGACGGUCGGCCACACUGGAACUGAGACACGGUCCUGACUCCUACGGGAGGCAGCAGUGGGGAAUUUUUCGCAAUGGGGGCAACCCUGACGAAGCAACGCCGCGUGGGUGAUGAAGUCUCUUGGGACGUAAAACCCUUUCGACGGGGAAGAAACUGACGGUACCCGUAGAAGAAGCCCCGGCUAACUCCGUGCCAGCAGCCGCGGUAAUACGGGGGGGGCAAGCGUUGUUCGGAAUUACUGGGCGUAAAGGGCGCGUAGGCGGUUCGCUAAGUUGAAUGUGAAAACUCUGGGCUUAACCCAGAGCCUGCAUUCAAUACUGGCGGGCUAGAGUUCUGGAGGGGAUAGCGGAAUUCCUGGUGUAGCGGUGAAAUGCGUAAAUAUCAGGAGGAACACCGGUGGCGAAGGCGGCUAUCUGGACAGAGUCUGACGCUGAGGCGCGAAAGCUAGGGGAGCAAACAGGAUUAGAUACCCUGGUAGUCCUAGCCCUAAACGAUGGAUACUUGCUGUAACUGGGAUUGAAUCCAGUCGUGGCGAAAUAACGCAUU